rnacentral:lncRNA from 1 species
GCGAUUUAUUACUUAUUAUUAAUUGCAUGCUGUGCACCUGUUUUGGGCACUUGGCAAUUUUCCCACGCCGUUUGUGUUGGCGUUUAUCGUGUUGUUUUUUUUGUUCAAAAUAAACACGAAGUUCUGUAACUCUGCUCUCUGCGCCUGACUCCUACCACCACUCCUAGCAACACUGUGACAGAAUCCCGCACCAGCUAUGGAGUCAGCAGGAGCAGCCUUCCCUCCUCUCCCAUCGAUGGAGGAACGGGUCCUUCACCAUACCACCAUCCUCCACCGAAUCGGCUCAGCGAUGGAGCAGAUGAUGGAAAGGAUGGACCGAUGGGAGAGGAGUGGCCUCCCUACCGCAUCCCCAGCACCAAAUCCCCCUCCACCAUCUACCCCUCCACCGACGUCCGGACCCGGAGCCCUACGCCUGGCUCUCCCCAGGGAGUACGAUGGAGCGGCGGCUGGGUGCCAGGGGUUCCUGCUACAGUUGGAUUUGUACCUGGCUACCGUUCAUCCAGCUCCCUCGGGAGAGGAGAGCGUAAGCGUCCUCGUCUCCUGCUUAACGGGACGUGCCCUGGAGUGGGCCAACGCAGUGUGGUUAGGCCCAGACUCGGCAAGGGAUCAUUACCCCGAGUUCACCCGCCGUUUCCGGGCCGUGUUCGACCACCCAGCAGAAGGCCGGGCGGCGGGUGAACGGCUGUUCCACCUGCGUCAGGAGACGAGGAGCGCACAGGACUUUGCUCUGGAGUUCCGGACCUUGGCUGCUGGAGCGGGGUGGAACGACAGGGCCCUGAUGGACCACUAUAGGUGUAGCCUCCGGGAGGACGUCCGCCGUGAGCUAGCCUGUCGGGACACUACCCUGUCACUAGAUGAACUGAUCGACAUGUCCAUUCGUCUCGACAAUCUGCUGGCUGCGCGCGGGCGUCCAGACGGUGCCCUGUUGGUUCCACCUCCAGGUCCUCCAGCUCCCAUACCUAUGGAGCUAGGGGGGGCCGCGUCCAGGGGAACCGGAGGAGGAGGCUCCCCUUGUCCCCAGUGUGGUCGGAGAGGACACACUACCGACCGGUGCUGGGGGAGCUCCUCUG